AGAUUUUGCUGAAGUGGGUUCACGUUUCUGCUGUUUUCACCCGAUCUGGUUAAAUCCGGUGCCAUCGCGCUUUUUGCGAGGCCGAGCCUGAGAAUGCGAAGCAGAGAGGCAGGACGAAAGUUGAGGUAUGUGACCCCAAAGGAGCUUGAAUGAGUCCAAUAGGAGGAUACUUCGAUUUUUAACGCAACGAGCAGUUUUCUCCAAGACCCUUUUCCACAAUGGGGGAAUUAAGAAGGAAAUAAGCUCGCAAGAAUGAUUCCAACAUUUCCAAACAAGAUUGCUUCUUUCUCCGCUUUUUGUUUACUUUGUCCAGAUUGCAGCCAAAAAGACUCAUCUCAAGUAAUGAUAUUCUUGGAGAUGUCAGAAGAAGAUUCCUGAGUCUUGAAAGAUAAUUACUUGAAAGAUACAAGAGAGGGGGAAGGGGGAGAGAAGAGACAUCAGCUUCCAAACUCUCUCACUUAGCAAGCCUCGGUUCCUUGAUGGCUGUUGGCUGAAGACUUCAGUUCUUCUUCAGCAUGUGAACCUCUCCAUAGGCCGCCUGAGUGUCCUCACACCAUGACAGCUGGCGUCCCCCAGAGGGAAUGAUCCAAGAGAGAAAGGCCAAGAUUGAAGCUUAUCUUUUACAAGUUAGUCUUGAAAAUGACAUAACAUCACUUCUGCCCUCUUCUUGUGGUCACAGAGGCCAAUCCUGGUACGGUGCAGGCUUGAUGUUGAGAAAACGACACCUCCAAGUUAGCAUAAGGAAUAAAAUGGAAGGGUGUUUUUCUUAGAGAACAUCAUUUGUCAGAUUUAUCAGAUCAAAAAUUUGAAGAUUUAUAUAAUAAGGUAAGAGGUUUAUAAAUUUAUUAGUUUUGACAAAAGAACACAGAAAAAAUUAUAUUUGAGCAUGAUGUGGAUAUUGUACUCAAUUAAAAUUUUUUCCUUCUUCUUUCAGUUUUCAAAGAUAACAUACAUAUGAUUUCAAAAAUAAUAUAAUUUUCCAAAUCAAUAGAUUCAAUUCAGGAUAGGCAUUUGGGUGGGUGGGGGGCGGACUUUUAACCUUGGUAGUCAUCUUUUCUUAAAAACAAUGAUGUAACCGUUCAGCCCCUGAAAUUCUUAGAGAGCAUAUGUUCCAGGGUUUAAAUUUGCUGAACUAUUGGAUAUUUUGUAAAUGACUCUGAUAAGCCAGUGGAUGACCAUUGUGUAACUUAAGCUUUGUUCAAGAACAGCAGAUAGGCAGGUGGUCGGAAGCUGGGAAUCUCAAAUCUAAUACCAGAUUAAUCUGUCAUUAAUUAGGUAUGUUAUCUUCCGGUGUUUCUCAAAUUUGAGGAAUAUAAAGGGGAAAAAUUCUUGUGAAUUCUCAAUGUUGGUUUAAGUUAAUUUCCUGUUUCUUAAAUUUCUACAAACAUAAAAGUGAUAUAAACUUUGUUUAUGGUCCUUAAUGAAAAGAUUUACAAAAUAAAUGCAUUCAAAAACAAAACUAAAACAACAAUGGGAUGGAUGCUAUUGUUUUGCAGCAGUGAACAUGGUACUGGCUGCUAUGGAAUAAGUUAUAAACACAUACAGUCUUAUGCCUUCUGAUGAUUGUAAAGUUUUACAAUCUGGACAAUAGUAGAGUUGUCUGGAACUUUACUGUUUUGCAGACCUCAAGAUGAUUGAAAUGAGGGGAAGGGGCCUAAAUUCUCAAAAGGAUGUCUUUGGACUGUCUGCAAAUCCUAAUUUGAAGAAUUCUGUAUUACAUUAUCUGCAAACAUUCUUCUAGCUCCAAUGAGUAAUUCAGAGUCUUGGAACUAGCAUUCCUUUGAGAAAAGCUUCAGUUCUUAUUUGAUCUAGGAUUAGGCUUGGCUAGUAGUUAACUAAAUUGGAUUAAAAGUUGACUAUUGUGUGAACUAAUACAGGUUUUUCUUUUUAGUUACAGGUGGUCCUUUAUACCAUUUCAACAUUGCACGAACAUCAGUUUUCACCGUUCAGUUAAAUAUCACCAGUCCCCCAACAACACAGUUGAAAUUUCAGUUACCAUGGUACUAACUGGGAAUUGUUGCAUAAACUUUGCUACUAGCUCUUUAUUCCACAAGUCGUUAUGCAAAUAAAAGACGUGCAUCAUGAUCAGUAACCAGUUACACAUCAUUUCUUUCAAAGUCAGUUGCUGACUGGUCACUAACCAUCUGUUAGUUCACAUACAGAUAGUAAAGCAUGUAGUUGUUUUGCCUCCUUGUCUCCCAGUGAUAAACCCAUGUGACAUUUUACAAAAAUGGAUAAUCAAAAAAGAGAAUUGGUCAACAAAGAUGACAGGCAGCAAAGAAACAAAAAGUGAUAACACUGGAAGUGAAAUUGGAUGUGGUCGGAAGAUUUGAAAAUGGCGACAACAAAGCAAAGAUAGGAUGAGACCUAGGCCUACAUGAAGCUACAGUACAAACCAUAUUAAAAAAUCUGAUGAAUGUAAAAAACAAGGUAAAGUUGCUUCAACAUCUUUCAGUUUAAAUUGCACUAGGAACAGAAUGCUGCUUAUGGUUGAAAUGGAGCAUUUACUUCUACUUUGGAUUGAGGACUAAUCAAAAACAAUUCCCAUUCAGUUUGGCUUCAUUCAGGCCAAAGCAUUGAAGUUAGUUGCUACAUUGAAGAAAAAGGGUAAUUACAAGGAGACUGAAAAAGAACAUUUUAUUGCCAGUAAAGGGUGAUUUCAUUGUUGCAGAAAUUGGCAUGAUAAAUGUUAUCUGGUGAAGCUGCAAGCUCACAUAAGGAUACUACUGUGAAAUUUGCACCCAGAUUCCAAGAAUUAUAGGCAGUCCUCGCUUUGCACAGUAGUAUGAGACUAUAUUGUCCAAAACUGCAGGAUUUGGAUGGGAUGUAAAUGGACUUCUGAAGAUACAGAUGACCAUGGGAAUGUUGACACCGCCGCCGCUCAAGAAGCAGUUCUAGAUAUGCAGCCAGAGGAACUUAGUGAAGGCGAACAUACAGUUAUAAAUGAGGAAAGUGGUUGUGUCACAAAGGAUGAACUUGUCUCAGAGGAAGUGAUGCCAGUGGAAAAGCUUCACAUUAAAGGAACUCUCAGAUAUUUCAUGAUGUUGAAAGCUCAAAGGAUAAAAUUUUGGGAGCUGAUCCAAAUUUAGGAGUAUGACAAUUUGCCAAGGCAUAGAAAAGAUGCUCCAUAUCAUAAGUUAUAUGAUGAGAAGAAAGCAAGCAGUGUUCAAACUACUCUUGAUACUUUUUUGUAAAGAAAUAAAACACUAAUUUCCAGUGUU